rnacentral:rRNA from 1 species
UUCGUCACACUAUCAUUAACUGAAUCCAUAGGUUAAUGAGGCGAACCGGGGGAACUGAAACAUCUAAGUACCCCGAGGAAAAGAAAUCAACCGAGAUUCCCCCAGUAGCGGCGAGCGAACGGGGAGCAGCCCAGAGCCUGAAUCAGUGUGUGUGUUAGUGGAAGCGUCUGGAAAGGCGCGCGAUACAGGGUGACAGCCCCGUACACAAAAAUGCACAUACUGUGAGCUCGAUGAGUAGGGCGGGACACGUGGUAUCCUGUCUGAAUAUGGGGGGACCAUCCUCCAAGGCUAAAUACUCCUGACUGACCGAUAGUGAACCAGUACCGUGAGGGAAAGGCGAAAAGAACCCCGGCGAGGGGAGUGAAAAAGAACCUGAAACCGUGUACGUACAAGCAGUGGGAGCACAGAGCAAUCUGUGUGACUGCGUACCUUUUGUAUAAUGGGUCAGCGACUUAUAUUCUGUAGCAAGGUUAACCGAAUAGGGGAGCCGAAGGGAAACCGAGUCUUAACUGGGCGUUAAGUUGCAGGGUAUAGACCCGAAACCCGGUGAUCUAGCCAUGGGCAGGUUGAAGGUUGGGUAACACUAACUGGAGGACCGAACCGACUAAUGUUGAAAAAUUAGCGGAUGACUUGUGGCUGGGGGUGAAAGGCCAAUCAAACCGGGAGAUAGCUGGUUCUCCCCGAAAGCUAUUUAGGUAGCGCCUCGUGAAUUCAUCUCCGGGGGUAGAGCACUGUUUCGGCAAGGGGGUCAUCCCGACUUACCAACCCGAUGCAAACUGCGAAUACCGGAGAAUGUUAUCACGGGAGACACACGGCGGGUGCUAACGUCCGUCGUGAAGAGGGAAACAACCCAGACCGCCAGCUAAGGUCCCAAAGUCAUGGUUAAGUGGGAAACGAUGUGGGAAGGCCCAGACAGCCAGGAUGUUGGCUUAGAAGCAGCCAUCAUUUAAAGAAAGCGUAAUAGCUCACUGGUCGAGUCGGCC